rnacentral:rRNA from 1 species
GAUGAACGCUGGCGGCGUGCCUAAUACAUGCAAGUCGAGCGAAUGGAUUAAGAGCUUGCUCUUAUGAAGUUAGCGGCGGACGGGUGAGUAACACGUGGGUAACCUGCCCAUAAGACUGGGAUAACUCCGGGAAACCGGGGCUAAUACCGGAUAACAUUUUGAACCGCAUGGUUCGAAAUUGAAAGGCGGCUUCGGCUGUCACUUAUGGAUGGCCCCGCGUCGCAUAAGAUAGUUGGUGAGGUAACGGCUCACCAAGGCAACGAAGCGUAGCCGACAUGUGAGUGUGAUCGGCGACACUGGGACUGAGACACGGCCCAGACUCCUACGGGAGGCAGCAGUAGGGAUUCUUCCACAAUGGACGAAAGUCUGACGGAGCAACGCCGCGUGAGUGAUGAAGGCUUUCGGGUCGUAAAACUCUGUUGUUAGGGAAGAACAAGUGCUAGUUGAAUAAGCUGGCACCUUGACGGUACCUAACCAGAAAGCCACGGCUAACUACGUGCCAGCCGCCGCCGUAA